GAUGAACGCUAGCGGCAGGCCUAAUGCAUGCAAGUCGAACGGUGUCUUCGGACAUAGUGGCGCACGGGUGCGUAACACGUAUGCAACCUACCUUACAUUGGGGGAUAGCCUUUCGAAAGGGAGAUUAAUACCGCAUAAGACAGUAGCUGGGCAUCCAGCAGCUGUUAAAGAUUUAUCGAUGUAAGCUGGGCAUGCGUCCAAUUAGCUAGUUGGUGAGGUAACGGCUCACCAAGGCAAUGAUUGGUAGGGGAACUGAGAGGUCAAUCCCCCACACUGGCACUGAGAUACGGGCCAGACUCCUACGGGAGGCGGCAGUAGGGAAUAUUGGGCAAUGGACGCAAGUCUGACCCAGCCAUGCCGCGUGCAGGAUGAAGGCGUUAUGCGUUGUAAACUGCUUUUAUACAGGAAGAAACGACUCUUGCGAGAGGCAUUGACGGUACUGUAUGAAUAAGCACCGGCUAACUCCGUGCCAGCCGCCGCAGUAACAC
rnacentral:rRNA from 1 species